GAGUGGCGGACGGGUGAGUAACGCGUGGGUAACCUGCCUCAUACAGGGGGAUAACAGUUAGAAAUGACUGCUAAUACCGCAUAAGCGCACGGAAUCGCAUGAUUCAGUGUGAAAAGCCGAGACGGUAUGAGAUGGACCCGCGUCUGAUUAGGUAGUUGGUGAGGUAACGGCCCACCAAGCCGACGAUCAGUAGCCGACCUGAGAGGGUGACCGGCUACAUUGGGACUGAGACACGGCCCAAACUCCUACGGGAGGCAGCAGUGGGGAAUCUUGCGCAAUGGGGGGAACCCUGACGCAGCGACGCCGCGUGCGGGACGGAGGCCUUCGGGUCGUAAACCGCUUUCAGCAGGGAAGAGUCAAGACUGUACCUGCAGAAGAAGCCCCGGCUAACUACGUGCCAGCAGCCGCGGUAAUACGUAGGGGGCGAGCGUUAUCCGGAUUCAUUGGGCGUAAAGCGCGCGUAGGCGGCCCGGCAGGCCGGGGGUCGAAGCGGGGGGCUCAACCCCCCGAAGCCCCCGGAACCUCCGCGGCUUGGGUCCGGUAGGGGAGGGUGGAACACCCGGUGUAGCGGUGGAAUGCGCAGAUAUCGGGUGGAACACCGGUGGCGAAGGCGGCCCUCUGGGCCGAGACCGGACGCUGAGGCGCGAAAGCUGGGGGAGCGAACAGGAUUAGAUACCCUGGUAGUCCCAGCCGUAAACGAUGGACGCUAGGUGUGGGGGGACGAUCCCCCCGUGCCGCAGCCAACGCAUUAAGCGUCCCGCCUGGGGAGUACGGCUGCAAGGCUAAAACUCAAAGGAAUUGACGGGGGCCCGCACAAGCAGCGGAGCAUGUGGCUUAAUUCGAAGCAACGCGAAGAACCUUACCAGGGCUUGACAUAUGGGUGAAGCGGGGGAGACCCCGUGGCCGAGAGGAGCCCAUACAGGUGGUGCAUGGCUGUCGUCAGCUCGUGUCGUGAGAUGUUGGGUUAAGUCCCGCAACGAGCGCAACCCCCGCCGCGUGUUGCCAUCGGGUGAUGCCGGGAACCCACGCGGGACCGCCGCCGUCAAGGCGGAGGAGGGCGGGGACGACGUCAAGUCAUCAUGCCCCUUAUGCCCUGGGCUGCACACGUGCCACAAUGGCCGGUACAGAGGGAUGCCACCCCGCGAGGGGGAGCGGAUCCCGGAAAGCCGGCCCCAGUUCGGAUUGGGGGCUGCAACCCGCCCCCAUGAAGUCGGAGUUGCUAGUAAUCGCGGAUCAGCAUGCCGCGGUGAAUGCGUUCCCGGGCCUUGCACACACCGCCCGUCA
rnacentral:rRNA from 1 species